ACCCGUCUAGCUGAGUAGGUAUAGCGCUGGCCUUUUAAGCCAGUGGUCGUGGGUUCGAGCCCCACGGGGGGUG
rfam:Phytophthora infestans T30-4 supercont1.10 genomic scaffold, whole genome shotgun sequence.